CUGACGUAGCAAUCAUUAUUAAAUGAGGACCAUGAAGUCUACAUGAAGACCAAAGCUGUCGGAUUAAAACUUCCAAAGAAAGAGGUCAUUGCUAUUUAGUGGCACCUCUACCUUCCCGAGUCAGGUACAACUGACUGGUCUUUGCUAUUGGGAGGAGAAAUAUGCAGGAUUUGUUUAGACAGCGUGGUUAUGCAAUGUUGAAUAAAGUUAUCCUUGAGCAACAUGUGUUAUGUGAACCCAGUGGUAUAUUUACAGGCUUUAUUGGUGGGCUCCACUGAAGUAAAAUUAAGAUGGAAGCUAUGAGGUCUCGGGCACAUAUAAAGGAAUGCAUGCAUGGAGGAGAAGAGAUCAAUAGAUGUGGCACAGUGUGCUGAACUCUAUUACCAGAAACAGGAUUUCAAACCUCAACUGGGCAAAUAUGUAACAAUGUAGAAAAGAAAAACUUUGUAGGAGCGUCCAUCAAUUAAAGAUUUUGAAAUCUGCACCAAACCAGGGUCCUCGUACUCUAAAGCCCAGCAGUAAAUAUGGGACAGACGCCGAUUUUAUGGAAGUGGUAGCGGCAGAUGAGUGUGACUAUCAGCAGGUGUCAAUGGCUCCAGAGCGGGAACCACUCCAAGGCCCAAUGCUGCACAAAGACAAAAACACAGGCACACACAGAAGAGGGGAGAGGCAGAGAGCUCGGGAUGAUGGGAAAACAACUGGAAACGGCAGGUGAAGCCAGCGAGGACACAGAGCACGACAGAGCGCUCCGAAAUAAAGACGUCAGCUCAGUAUGGAUUACCUGUGCCAUGACUGGGACUGCACAAUAACGUAUCUCAAUAAAGCUACGCGUUCUGUGCCGACAUGAUGUCCACUUAAAAAUACCCACGUCUUUUUUUUUUUUUAAACCAAGUCAGACACAGUGUUACUGAAUGAUUAAACAGCUGUUUAAAAACAUUCUCAGAGAUCAGCCAUUAAUCAGACAAGUGGAGAGUUCAUGGUGGUUCAACAUUAUCAUGUGUGAAAUUCUAAUACACAUUCAGGAGCACUGAGCACAUUGUUACUACAUAGUUACUACAUUGGUUAUUUAUGUAAUUGUAUUUUAUUUUUAUAGCACCAAAUUACAACAACAGUUGCCUCAGGGCGCUGUAUAAUAUAAGUUAAAGACUACAAUAAUAAUAUUCAUAUGCACUGUACACACGUACUGAUGCUGUGUCGUCUGUCCGUCUGUGUUAGAUCUGUCCAGCCUGCCUCUCUCUAUGACAGCUGGAACACGCUCCAGCCCCCCUGUGCCCCUAAAAUUGGAUGAGUGGAAGAGGAUGAACGGAUGGAUGUUUAAUAACUGAAAGAGUAAUGCUGCCAUCUAGAGACUGAAAGAUGGACCUUCGAACAAAAUGGAGUUGCAAUGGUUUCAAUUCAUGAAUGGUUUCCUAGACAAGUAUUAAACCAGCUUUCUCAGUCAUGGUUUGAAAUGCAUCCACGCUUGGCCUAGAACUGGAUUCUAUGAACUCAUUUCCCAAAGGAAGAUUAGGGCUAUUCCAGGACUAAAUGCAAGGUCAGAUUAAACCUUCCAGGACCUGGUUUAGCUGCAGUUUCUUACACCUCACCCAGGAGGCAUCCGAAUCAGAUACCUGAACCACCUCAACUGGCUCCUUUCAACAUGAAGAAGUAUUGGCUCUACUCUGAAAUCCUCUCGGAUGACUGAACUCUUCAUCCUAUUUCUAAGCGAGAGGUCAAUAAAUAAACUGAGUAGCAGUCAGCUGAAUACUCAGGAGUGGCUGGCGGUGCUCGAAAAACCAAGAGAGAAUAAUUGUCAAGCAGGUUUUUGACAGGCAGCUGGGAAGUAGACAAACAAAGUUCGAGAACAAAAUGCACAGGAGCCAGCAGCUUCAAUCUGUCAGAAAGAGCAGAGCCAUGAAGUCCUUAAAUAUCAUGAGCCUGAUGUGCCUCAUUAUUUAACCUGGAGUGAUAGAAAGAGAUGACAAAAGUCCCCUAAGACAAAAACAGACAUCACAGGAUUAUCUCAUUUGAAGAGGACAUGUUUCUAUUCCACAUAUAAUUAAUCAAAUACCCAUAAAUUACACAAAAACAUAUUUCACAUCAGAUGACACAAGAACAGAAAAAUGAGAAAGUAGAAAAAAAUACAACAAGUUUCCAUAUAUUCAGUACAAGCAUGUGUGAUUUCCAUGCUCGUGGUCCAUGGGCACAAAUGUUUGGUGCGCCCUAGCCAACUUGUUUUUUUUUCAGUCAUGUCAUACAGGUAUAAAAUACCUUGGAGUCCACAUUGACAAUAAACUGGACUGGGCUAAAAACACCACAGCACUUUACAGAAAGGGCCA